rnacentral:rRNA from 1 species
UACGGAGGGGGCUAGCGUUGUUCGGAAUUACUGGGCGUAAAGCGCACGUAGGCAGCUUUGUAAGUCAGAGGUGAAAUCCCGGGGCUCAACCCCGGAACUGCCUUUGAGACUGCAUCGCUUGAAUCCAGGAGAGGUGAGUGGAAUUCCGAGUGUAGAGGUGAAAUUCGUAGAUAUUCGGAAGAACACCAGUGGCGAAGGCGGCUCACUGGACUGGUAUUGACGCUGAGGUGCGAAAGCGUGGGGAGCAAACAGG